UGGGGAAUUUUGGACAAUGGGGGAAACCCUGAUCCAGCCAUCCCGCGUGUGCGAUGAAGGCCUUCGGGUUGUAAAGCACUUUUGGCAGGAAAGAAACGUCAUGGGUUAAUACCCCGUGAAACUGACGGUACCUGCAGAAUAAGCACCGGCUAACUACGUGCCAGCAGCCGCGGUAAUACGUAGGGUGCAAGCGUUAAUCGGAAUUACUGGGCGUAAAGCGUGCGCAGGCGGUUCGGAAAGAAAGAUGUGAAAUCCCAGAGCUCAACUUUGGAACUGCAUUUUUAGCUACCGGGCUAGAGUGUGUCAGGGGGAAGUGGAAUUCCGCGUAUAGCAGUGAAAUGCGUCGAUAUGCGGAGGAACACCGAUGGCGAAGGCAGCCUCCUGGGAUAACACUGACGCUCAUGCACGAAAGCGUGGGGAGCAAACAGG
rnacentral:rRNA from 1 species